rnacentral:rRNA from 1 species
AUUGAACGCUGGCGGCAGGCCUAAUACAUGCAAGUCGAACGAGUGGCGGACGGGUGAGUAAUGUAUGGGAAACUGCCUGAUGGUGGGGGAUAACUACUGGAAACGGUAGCUAAUACCGCACAGCCUCAAAUGUCGCAAGAUGGGUUUAGCUAGUUGGUGGGGUAACGGCUCACCAAGGCGAAGAUCCCUAGCUGGUCUUAGAGGAUGACCAGCCACACUGGAACGGAGACACGGUCCAGACUCCGACGGGAGGCAGCAGUAGGGAAUAGUGAACAAUGGGCGAAAGCCUGAUGCAGCCAUGCCGCGUGUAUGAAGAAGGCCUUCGGGUUGUAAAGUACUUUCAGCGGGGAGGCGUUACCCGCAGAAGAAGCACCGGCUAACUCCGUGCCAGCAGCAGCGGUAAUUC